GCUUUCCAUCUCCUACCCCACCCCCUUCUCUACUUUUUCAGGUAUUUGCCGAAUUUAAUCGGAUUACCAGUCGGAACCUCGAGGCAGACUUCUUUGAGGCUCUGGGCCAGCACACCCCACGUUUCAUCCAACUGUUCAAGUCAAAAAAAGGAUCGGUGGGACAGAAACUGCAGAGCAUCAACUGGCCGACACCGGACGUGACUGAACAGCGCUCUGUUGUCCUCAAAGGCAUUCCGAUUGUUCUUGGCGACGACUCCAAGGAUUUCUUCAAGACAUGCUUUGAUACAACGAGAGAUGAGGCCCUAUCAUCCGUCACUGUUGGUGUGCUGACUGUUCUCAGCGAAGACAGUCCUCAGGAGGGUCCAAGCUCAAU